GGGUAUUGGUCUUGCAUCGUAGAGAUAUAAAUGAGUUGCCAAAUUCAGUUGGGAACUUGAUUCAGCUUCGGUACCUAGGCCUCUCCGGUACUGACAUCAAAACACUACCUCAGUCAAUUGGUAAACUCUAUAAUCUGCAAGUACUGAACUUAAAAAACUGCAAUUUACUGGUUAAAAUACCUGAUGGCAUUACCAGACUGAUCAAUUUGCGACAUCUUGAAGCAACUACAAAGUUGAUCACCAAAAUAACUGGAUUGGGGAACCUAACCUGCCUCCAAGAAUUAGAUAAAUUCACUGUUCGCAAGGCUAGAGGACACAAGAUAAAAGAGUUGAAAGAAAUGAACGAGCUUCGAGGAAAUCUACGAAUUAAAAAGCUUGAGAACGUGUUCAAUGGAAAACAGGCAAGUGAGGCUAACUUAUAUGCCAAAGAGUUCCUUCAUACUCUCAAACUUGAGUGGUCAGAUGAGAGAAAUGUCAACUGUGAAGGUGAAAAUCUCCACGAGGAAGUACUUGAAGCCCUUCAACCACACCAUGAUCUGAAGGAGCUUACAAU
rnacentral:lncRNA from 1 species